ACAUGCAAGUCGAACGGCAGCACAGGAGAGCUUGCUCUCUGGGUGGCGAGUGGCGGACGGGUGAGGAAUACAUCGGAAUCUACUUUUUCGUGGGGGAUAACGUAGGGAAACUUACGCUAAUACCGCAUACGACCUACGGGUGAAAGCAGGGGAUCUUCGGACCUUGCGCGAUUGAAUGAGCCGAUGUCGGAUUAGCUAGUUGGCGGGGUAAAGGCCCACCAAGGCGACGAUCCGUAGCUGGUCUGAGAGGAUGAUCAGCCACACUGGAACUGAGACACGGUCCAGACUCCUACGGGAGGCAGCAGUGGGGAAUAUUGGACAAUGGGCGCAAGCCUGAUCCAGCCAUACCGCGUGGGUGAAGAAGGCCUUCGGGUUGUAUAGCCCUUUUGUUGGGAAAGAAAUCCAGCUGGCUAAUACCCGGUUGGGAUGACGGUACCCAAAGAAUAAGCACCGGCUAACUUCGUGCCAGCAGCCGCGGUAAUACGAAGGGUGCAAGCGUUACUCGGAAUUACUGGGCGUAAAGCGUGCGUAGGUGGUCGUUUAAGUCCGUUGUGAAAGCCCUGGGCUCAACCUGGGAACUGCAGUGGAUACUGGACGACUAGAGUGUGGUAGAGGGUAGCGGAAUUCCUGGUGUAGCAGUGAAAUGCGUAGAGAUCAGGAGGAACAUCCAUGGCGAAGGCAGCUACCUGGACCAACACUGACACUGAGGCACGAAAGCGUGGGGAGCAAACAGGAUUAGAUANCCUGGUAGUCCACGCCCUAAACGAUGCGAACUGGAUGUUGGGUGCAAUUUGGCACGCAGUAUCGAAGCUAACGCGUUAAGUUCGCC
rnacentral:rRNA from 1 species